AAACUGCGAUACGUAAUGUGAAUUGCAGAACUCCGUGAAUCAUCAAACAUUUGAACGCACACUGCGCCUGCGGGGAAAUCCGCAGGCAUGCCUGUUUGAGCACGGUUUCUCAUCUUUCAUUCCUUCUCUCUUGCUUCUCAGUAGGCAGGCGGAGCGGAGUGGACAUUGAGGGUCAAUGAAGAAAUUGAAGCAUUGUCCCUUCAAAGAGAUGGCAGGAGAGAGCAGCACCUUUACUCUGAGGUAUAAUGCAAGUGGCGCAAUGAGGCGUUGCGAAGCUGGAAGGCAAAGGAGCAGCAGGAGGAAUCCACAAGGAGAGAAACUUGCUGAACCAAGCCCCCCAGAGGGAGCAAUCAGCCGAUGUCACCAGCAUUUGCCUUGAGAGGGUUAGAAGGGAAGCCUCACCAAAAGGAAAGAGGGAGGCAACACAGCCUCGAAACCAAGGUCACUGGGGAAAGAAAGCUCUCCAAACCGUACCUCGAUCUCAAAUCAGGCAAGAGAACCCGCUGAAUUUAAGC
rnacentral:misc_RNA from 1 species